GAUACCAUGGUUUUCUCAAAGGCUGCUUACAGAGCACUGAAUUCUCAAAGGCUCUUGUACAAUGAUGAGAUCAAGAAGUUUAACAAUUUUUGCAGAGAUCUGUGGCCUGGCAUAAUACAUAAGCCCAGCUGGGCAUUAUCUUGUAGCUGGUGGUCUCUGUCAUUUCAACAGGCUUUCGAUAAGGUGUUACACAGGGUGAUGGAUUUAAAAGUCCACCACAAUGAUCCCACUUACAUAGUUCCUAUGACUUUUUGCCUUUCCUCAGGCUUUAAUAUGCAUGAAUGUUGGGAAACAGCAAGUAAUAAUAUGCACAGCUCAGUGGGAAACACAGUCCGGGACACCAGAAAUAAUGAACUGAAGGCUUUUUAAUGUGAGCUGCAGAAUGCUGACAUCUGUUGAAAUAUCAUGACUUCAGAUGCUCAAAACUGCACAGAAUCAAUCAAUAACUGAGUUCAGAAGGGACCUCUGGAGAUAUCUAGUCCAGCCCCUGGCUCAAGAAGGGUCAGCUGCAGCACUGCAUAUGUACACGCUUUCAAUGCAAUAACUCAGCUGCACAAGAUCAGAGUUACAAGUGGUUACAAGCCAAGAAUAUGCAAAGAAUAGAAAAUCUGCUGCCUUAUGUUCAGAACUCUGCAAACAACUUGCAGUGUUUAGUCUUAUAAGAUAUUUAAUUAUACUCGAGGAAUCUUUGCCAGAAUCAUGUGGUUAACUGCCAAAUAAUGCCUACUCUGAGUAGUGCGAAAGGGCUGCCUCAGCAACAUUUACCAUUUAUGGUAUUUAAAUAUCAUUUUGGCUCAGAGGCUAAUAAGUCAAGUGAGCUGAGGAGAAUGCUUAACUAAAAAGCUGUCUGAGCAAGCCCAGAGAGAGAAGCAGCAGAUUCCACUAAAAUUUCUCCAAGCAAGACUCAGGUUCACACACAAUUCUUGAGCCUGAAAAGAGUUUCACAUCUCCAUGUAUUUUCAUUGUAAAUAAAUCCAGCUUUUACCAGAUCUCAUGUUAACAAUGGUACCAACUCAAAAAAUAACAGAUUUUAUAGAGCAGAAAAUUGGUAUUAGGGCACUUGUCUCAUCUUUCUUUCUUCCUGUAAAGUAUUUUUCUGUCUCAGGCCUGAAGUAGUACGGUCAAAAUAUUUUCUACAAGUUUUCCAAGAAUUACAAACUUGAUUUAUGCUGGCAUAAAAAAAUAUGAGACCUGUAUGCUCUUAAGACAUGUAGGGAUAUUUCUGCUUUAUUAAAGACCUCAGCAUCUCAUUUAACUUCUGCGUCAUUCUGCAAGCACUCAUCUCUCAUUUGCACCCAAAAUUUGUUCCCCUUUUACUGGAAAUGAUUUAUAUCGAGAAGAUGUCUUUAGAGAACAUAAUUUAUAUUGAUGGCACAAAUCCUAUAUUAUUAAAAGGUCCCAUGCAUGUUUUGCUUUUGCUCUUCAUUUUGGGUCUGUAGUGGCAUUGUGGCUCAUGUUUGGUGCUGAGGUGCUGAAAGAAGACAAAUAAAAAAAAAAAAAAAGAACUUUAAUCUUACAAGCUGUUAGCGACCCAUAGGGAGUGCUCUGAACUAAGAACUUGGGAACAUUAUGGAAAGCACUGGAACAGAGUUUCUUUGAUGCUCAUGACAGCUUACCUCUGACCUUUCAAUACCAUAAUGAAAAACCCCUCCCUUUCA